CUUAACAUGAUGACAAAUUUAAUCUGAAUGAAAUCUAUGCUGAUCACACAUUAAAAAUUAAACCAAAAGGAUUCUGAAAUUAU